GGGAGGGAGACCAGAGGAAGGAGGUGGCUUCUCCUUCACCCGCGUCCUCAGGUCCCCCUGUACACCACGUGGGUGGGAGCGUGUCUUACACAUCCACGCGCCCACAGCCACCUUCACCGCGCUCCUGCCUGGACCGGGUCCAUCUCCGCGCCUGUGGGCGCCAGGCCUCCACGGGCCACGUCGCCGCCACCUGCUGCUGCAUCCCCAGUGAGAGGGAAGGAGCAUCUCCGUGCUUCCCCUCAUCCGCCUCCACCCAGCCCAAGCCCUCUCAUCCUCCGGGGUAAGGCUGAAGCCACGUCUUCCCCGGGCCCCCUCCCCAGCGCAGAGUGGAAGGGAGAGGGAGGAGCUCCGGCCGCAGCCGCCCGCCCUCCUCGCUCCGGAGCUCCCCCUGCCCUCCCCUCCCUUCCCCUCCCCUCCCCUCGGCUGCCGCAGCCCCGCUAGUCGCGCGCGUCAGCGUGGGCUCCCCGGAGCGAGUCGCUAGGUAACGGGGCUGGCUCCGCAGACCCGGGGCCGGGGAAGCCCGCGCGCGUCGUCAGCAGCGGCGCAGCGGGGCGGGGGCAGAGGGCGCACGGACCCUCUUCAUCCGGGCUUGCGGACCCUGGCUCGCACGCAGCCCCCUCCCAGGAUGCCUUAACCAGCGCCGAUCGCAGUCAUCCAGGUGCCCCUCCCUUGCAGGGACCCCAACGCCGCCAGCCCCUUCCUCCUUCCUAGCCGGUGCGCACUGCUCUGCGCGCAGCAGGGUGGGAGCCCCGCUGCCGCGGUCGCCGUCGCCGCCGGUCCUCCCGCCGAGCCCGGGCUCGGGGCAUGAGGAGCCCCGGGGCGCCGCCCGGAGACGAGCCGGCUGCGCGUACACUUCUCCAGCGGCGGACGGGGACAUGAGCCGCGCGUACGGGGUUCGGCGCCCGGCGGCCAGCCCCAGCCGGCGGCAGCCAGCGGGUCGGCGCUGCCCGGGAGAAUGAGGCAGGAGCUGGCGGCAGCCUAUUUCUCUUCCUCCUCCUCGCCUUUCUCCGGCUCAGGCGCCCCGGGUCCGGGCCAGGCUGUGGUUCUGCUGCGUGCCCCGCGCGCCCCCCGCCCGCCUCCGGAUGCGCUGCUCGGUUAGCCUGGGGAGGAAGAUAAAGACAUUUGCAACCAAGAUGGUAAUCACGAGUGGAAAUGACGAAGACAGAGGAGGCCAAGAAAAAGAGAGCAAAGAGGAGAGUGUCUUGGCGAUGCUGGGCAUCAUCGGGACCAUCCUGAACCUAAUCGUGAUCAUAUUUGUGUACAUAUACACCACUCUGUGAACGGCCCAGCGGGUCCGCAGAGGCCUCGGGAUGGCCAAGACGGGAGUCCUGUGUGUCGACAGAUCGGUAAGCAGACACUGUGUGAACAAGCGAGCUUGACCUACCCACGCUGCUCGAUCAAAGGCACCUUUGAACUUUAUCAAAGGUCACAAAAAUCAACCGAUCCUGCUACAAGGAGCCGACACUAAAGCACAAUGAACCCAACAGAACUCAUCCACGCAACGAGGAGCUCAGCGUCUUCGGCAGAGGGCCCGAGAGAACGCUCGGAAGACCAGCCUUGGCUGCCGUCGGAGAGCGCAUGGGUGCAGACGUUCAAGAUGCCUGGUCGCUGACGACAUCACGUAUUCAAAGAGAGGAACAGGGCAGACUCCGCUCGUCGGUGUGUCUCCCAGGACGCGCGUUUCAUCUUGACUCGAUGAGCUGUCCAGGACGAGAAACCGCAGGGGCAGUCCUUUGACAGACAUCCCAUUCAUCAAAAGUGUCUAACUAUUUGAUACCGGGGAGAUAACUUAUUUUUCUUUUUUCAUUGGCUUGACAUGUGUAUCUGUUCAUAUCAAGGUUUAUAAAUAUAUAUUUUUAAUAAAUGUGCUCUAUUUUUUAGCAUGAACCAAAUAUUUGGAGAGGCGCUCCCAGAUACAUAGAGCUUCCUUGCUUUCACUGCUCUGCCCUCUAGACUGCCGAUGUUCUGUUGUGUCGUCAUUCUAAUCCUGUUUCUCUCAUCUUUAGCCUUUGGCCUUCUCUCCCCCUCUCUUUGGUCUGGAGGACAUUUUUCCAUAAUACCAGCCAUGCUCUUGGUUGGUGCAUGUUUUAAGAUUGUCCGUCGAGCGGCUUUUUGUUGUAAUAUCGGAGAUAUAAAACGAUCGUGGGCAUGUGGACCUUAGAUGCACCGUACCCUUACUGAGAUUUAUGCAUGAACAAGGUCUGAGUGACAGAUCAGCUUUAAAAUAAUCUAAAAAGGACUGUCAUUGAGGAGGAGCGCAGCUAAGUUUGCAGAUCCGCUACGGGAUGGAAUAUUCCACUUCUUCUCCGCAGCAUAUUACUUCAUUCUUGUGACCAUUUGGCGAUCAGAUUUUGAUUUUAAUGGCCUUGUAUGGGGGGGAAGCUCAGCGUUAGAUGCAUAAUUCCUUCCUGAGCGAGCCGCCUGGGCUCCCUGGGGGGGUGUAAAUGACACGGACUCCCCACUGUUUGAGCUCACCUGGGCGUUUCAAGCUGCAAGGACACCCCCAUGACGGGUGACUUUUCAGGGGCACUGGAAGGGGACGGGGUGAUGGCCCUAAGGGAUCGCUGCACUUCCUAAAGUUCCUGGUUUACACCCACAUGCAGCUGCUUCCUCCCGGGCUGGGAUGGUGGAAUAAAUCUGAGUUUGCCCUGUUCUCCUGGCUUCCGGAGACAGGCCUUUGCUGGCUGCAGCGGCAAGGCCUUAAAAAGAGGGUCAGAAUUCCUUCUGCCAGCACCAGCCUUGCCCGUGGGCAACAGAAGCAGUGACCUGCCUGGUUGGAUUCGAAUGAUGUCCAGGAGGUCUCUGCCCCUUGAUCUCUCCCUCCUCAUGUUGUGGUGUCUGAAAUUUCACCAUUAGAGAGUCAUUUCAUGGGCUCUUCUAUGGUUUCCAGCCUCUUUUAUAAAGCAAAUGCCCCUGAGCACCUGGCUCUGACAUUGAUUCAUCAGAUGUGUUCUCUUCCCCACCCAAAGGAAGGAGGUUGGUGUCCAUUUAGGGCAUCCUGUGUGCCAGGCGCUGUGCCACACACUGUAUUCCUAAAGUCAUUAAAUUCUUGCAGUAACCUUGUGGGAUAGGGAUUCUGUUCCCCACGUUGUAGAAGAAGAAAGUAGGACUCAGCGAGAUCAGGAAUCUUCCCUGGGAUCACGUGGUGAGUCGGGACUCUAACCCCUCAUCUGCCUGAUUUCCUCGCCCAUUGAGGGCCUGGAGGCUGCUGGGAAGAGAAGGGGUGACUUCACAGGAAACGGUCCUGGGGGUCAGGACAGAAACCCAAUGGCUUUGCUGAGGGCCAGCUCAGUAUCCCUCCCUCUGCACCCCCAUAAUAAUAAGCACCCCCUGGGAACUCCUUGACCGCUGGCAGAAUAGCAUACAGAUAAGGACCAGGGACGAGAGGAGGCGGUUAGAGAGAAAAUGGAAUGUCGGGGGAGGCAGCUGUCUCACAGGCUCUGUGUGGUUCUAGAAAGACUGUAUGAAAAUUCUGAACAGUAAACAGAGUAAACAAUAAAGGUGCAAUGAAAAACAC
ensembl:lncRNA